UAAAAGCAGACACACCUCAUUGAACAGAAACAUAUUCCACAUUCUGCUCUCUAACCAUGGCAAUACACUUUGCACUUUUACUCCUGUCAGCUCUUGGAGGUGACACAUUUGCAGAUGAUAUUACUGCCAUCAGAGCUGAAGUGUAUUCAUCUCAGGGCCGCAGCGUCACUCUAUCCUGUAACUAUUCAAUUAAAGCUGAAAGUCUCCAGUGGUAUCGACAGUAUCCUGGAUCAGCUCCUCAGUUCCUUCUCCUGAUCACAGACACAACAACUCCUACUGUAGUGGAAGCAAAACCUCCAAUCCCUCGACUGUCUGUUCAGCUGAACCAGAAGAGAAAUGGAGUGGAUCUGGAGAUCUCCUCAGCUGAAGUGACAGACUCUGCUCUGUACGAUCCAGGAAAACCACCACAGUUCCUCCUGUCCAUUUAUGGAUUUAAACAGUCAACAGAGAUUCUCAAAUCAGACCCAAGGAUUUCUACUAAACUGUCUGAAGACAAGCGUGGUGUGGAUCUGGAGAUCUCCUCUGCUGCAGUGACACACUCUGCUCUGUACUACUGUGCUGUG